AAUAGAUACCCCGGUAGUCCACGCCCUAAACGAUGCUCACUAGGUGUUGGGGAAGCGAUUCCUUGGUACCGUAGCUAACGCGUGAAGUGAGCCGCCUGGGGAGUACGGCCGCAAGGUUAAAACUCAAAGGAAUUGACGGGGACCCGCACAAGCGGUGGAUGAUGUGGAUUAAUUCGAUGCAACGCGAACAACCUUACCUACCCUUGACAUGUCCGGAAGCCUGCUGAAAGGUGGGUGUGCUCGAAAGAGAACCGGAACACAGGUGCUGCAUGGCUGUCGUCAGCUCGUGUCGUGAGAUGUUGGGUUAAGUCCCGCAACGAGCGCAACCCUUGUCCCUAGUUGCUACGCAAGGGCACUCUAGGGAGACUGCCGGUGACAAACCGGAGGAAGGUGGGGAUGACGUCAAGUCCUCAUGGCCCUUAUGGGUAGGGCUUCACACGUCAUACAAUGGACGGUACAGAGGGUUGCCAACCCGGCGAGGGGGAGCCGAAUCCCGAGAAAGCCGUUCGUAGUCCGGAUCGCAGUCUGCAACUCGACUGCGUGAAGUCGGAA
rnacentral:rRNA from 1 species